AAUCAACCUAGUGUCUUAAUCUCUCAACAUGAGAGCUGAGAUUCUUAUUUUUCUUUUGAACUUAAAUCUUCAUUAUUGAGUCAAUUGAUCAAAAACUGAAAGGCCAAAUUAUAGUAUUUGUGCCUUUUGAAGUCCAAAUAGCUUGUUGUGAACAAUUAAUGAGCUCCAUGGGCCAUUAUGUUGUGGCAAAGGUGACAUGUGAUGUGUAUGUAUGAAUUAAU
rnacentral:misc_RNA from 1 species